CAGCAGCCGCGGUAAUACGUAGGUCCCGAGCGUUGUCCGGAUUUAUUGGGCGUAAAGCGAGCGCAGGCGGUUAGAUAAGCCUGAAGUUAAAGGCUGUGGCUUAACCAUAGUACGCUUUGGAAACUGUUUAACUUGAGUGCAAGAGGGGAGAGUGGAAUUCCAUGUGUAGCGGUGAAAUGCGUAGAUAUAUGGAGGAACACCGGUGGCGAAAGCGGCUCUCUGGCUUGUAACUGACGCUGAGGCUCGAAAGCGUGGGGCGCAAACAGGAUUAGAUACCCCCGUAGUCCCUGUCUCUUAUACC
rnacentral:rRNA from 1 species